rnacentral:rRNA from 1 species
AUUGAACGCUGGCGGAAUGCUUUACACAUGCAAGUCGAACGGCAGCACGGGGGCAACCCUGGUGGCGAGUGGCGAACGGGUGAGUAAUACAUCGGAACGUGCCCAGUCGUGGGGGAUAACUACGCGAAAGCGUAGCUAAUACCGCAUACGAACUCUGGUUGAAAGCGGGGGACUCGCAAGAGCCUCGCGCGAUUGGAGCGGCCGAUGGCAGAUUAGGUAGUUGGUGGGGUAAAGGCNCACCAAGCCGACGAUCUGUAGCUGGUCUGAGAGGACGACCAGCCACACUGGGACUGAGACACGGCCCAGACUCCUACGGGAGGCAGCAGUGGGGAAUUUUGGACAAUGGGCGCAAGCCUGAUCCAGCCAUUCCGCGUGCAGGGUGAAGGCCCUCGGGUUGUAAACUGCUUUUGGACGGAACGAAAGCGCCAAGUUAAUACCUUGGCGUCAUGACGGUACCGUCAGAAUAAG